rnacentral:rRNA from 1 species
AGUGAACGCUGGCGGUAGGCCUAACACAUGCAAGUCGAACGGCAGCAGAGUACGAGCUUGUUGUUACGGGUGGCGAGUGGCGGAUGGGUGAUGAAUAUAUCGGAAUCUACUUUUUAGAGGGUGCUAACGUGGGGAAAAUUACGCCAUAACUGCAUACGGCCUACGGGUGAAAGCAUGGGAUCUUCGGCUCUCGCGCGAGUGUAUGUGGCGUUGGCGGAUUAGUUAGUUGGCGGGGUAAAGGCCCACCAAGGCGACGAUCCGUAGCUGGUCUGAGAGGAUGAUCAGCCACACUGGAACUGAGACACGGUCCAGACUCCUACGGGAGGCAGCAGUGGGGAAUAUUGGACAAUGGGCGCAAGCCUGAUCCAGCCAUGCCGCGUGUGUGAAGAAGGCCUUCGGGUUGUAAAGCCCUUUUGUUUGGAAAGAAAAGCAGCAAGUUAAUACCCCGCUGUUCUGACGUUACCCAAAGAAUAAGCACCGGCUAACUUCGUG